CGCUGACAGCAGUCUCCCCACCGCAGCUUCCCAUGUCACUAUGACGCAGACCUCACCCCCAUCAGCUAAGCAAUAACAACAACAACAAUAACAACGACGAUAAACAAGGGCAACAAAAGGGAAAAAAUAAAAUUUUUAAAAAUGAAAGAAGAAAAAAAAAAGAGGUGAAGAUACAGUCCACCAGCUAGGAAGUCUUCACUGACAGGACUCCUCCCACCUGUAACGGCGCACAGCCGCCUCCAGGAUCUCACUCAGGCAAAUAGAGAAGUGGGUCCUUCUACUAGCACCUAGAAGAGAUGCCUCACCUCAGUGCAAUUGCUGAGGAAAACCAGAUUCCAAAUAAGGAGCGAUAGCAGCCAAGGACCUGAUCUGUGACAUUUCUGAAAAGCAAGGAUGUCAUUAGUACCA